GCAGACCGUAACGGACGGGUAGUGUAGGUUUGGGGUAGGACCCCGGCUGAAACCGUUCGAGGCCCAGAAGAAAUUCCAACGUAUGUAAACGGCGAAUUGAAACAUCUUAGUAGCCGCAAGGAACCGAUCAAUAGAGAUUCCGGUAGUAGUGGUGAGCGAACCCGGAGACGGGCCGCCCGGCCGAACCCUGUCGACCUCAACCGACAGACUGGCCCUAGGCGGCUCAAUCUGCCAACAGAGUAGGACGGCACAGGAAAAGCUGUCUGAACCUCGGAGGACCAUCUUCGAAGGCAGGAACUGGUGCAGUGACCGAUAGCGCAAAAGUAUUGUGAAAGAAAGCUGAAACAAAGACUGCGCCCGCUUGCGGGUUAGCCGGCCCCGGCCGGUUACGAUCAGGACCGAAUCAGAUCACAGAUACGCAGGCAAUGGACAGACACACGACCGCCUCGGCCCGCCCGUUAAUCGGGACGCGGCCUGGGCACCGGUUGGUGUCAUACCUCUUGUAUAAUGGCUUAGCAACUUCAUGUCGUGGGCGAGCCCAAGGCCGUUGGCCCGAGGCGUAGUGAAAGCGGGCGUUAACACCGCCACCAUUCCAGUCCCCGGCAUGACACCCGAAACCCGGCGAUCUACGCGUCGGCAGGCUGAAGGACGAACAAAUCUGGAAGGCCGAACUGCGGCAUGUCGCAAAAUGCUCGGACGACUGACGCGUUGGAGUGAAAGUCUAAUCAAGCUGGGUUAUAGCUGGUUUUCCGCGAAAGAUAUUCAGGUAUCCGGUACAGGUGACUCCCAGGUAAAGUACACCGGCCUCGUAGGGCCCCUUAGCCGGGGCUCGGGAGGUCGGUAACUCAUAAUGGGGAGGCAACGACACGCCUGUGCACACAGACAGUUGGCGAGAAGGUCAACUGUCAAGAGAGAAACAGCUCAGACCGACGGCUAAGGUUCCCAACCGUCUCGCAGUGUAAGGCCGGCUCGUUCCGGGGUGGACAGAUGGAGUCAUCGGAGGGCUUAGCAGCGGCCACCAGGAUAAUGUUCACCUAAGAUUUACAGAUAAUCCAUCCCCUCGACGGAUGCCGGCCGACCAAUAUAACGGAGCUCAGAGACCGACCAAAGCCUCGGGCGGCCCGCUGGGGCCGCAGUAGCGGAACGUUCUGUCCGCCGGAGUUUAACACUCCGGCAGGAACCGCCGAUCGGACACCGGUCCCCCUCGGCUAAUUCAGAAGUGAAUAUGCUAAGAUGAGUAACGCAUAACAGGGCGGUGCACACCUCCCUGUCACCUUAAAUCCUAGGUUUCCUGAAGCGAGCCUCAGGCCUUCAGAUGGGAUACGCGGCCUCUAAGCCCGCCGGUGAACGCCGGCAGCGAUGAGCAGCCCCCUGCCACCGACCGCCACCGCAGUGACCCGCUCCACCCAAUCGGCCCGGAGCGGCGCCCCGGAAUUGGCGGUCCAGGAAAACGGCAGGGCCUCUGCCCGUACCAAAUUCGACUCGGAUGGAUAGGCGGCAAAACCGCUAAGGUGUAGAACUAACGGUGCCAAAGGAACUCGGCAAAUUGACCCUGUAACCUCGGGAUAAGGGGAUCCGACCGGAUGGCCUCGGGUCGGAGGCACGUAAUUGCGAGAAGCGACUGUUUACUAAAAACACAGGACUCUGCGAAAGCGCAAGCUAAAGUAUAGGGUCCGACGUCUGCCCAAUGCUACUUACAUAUAAAAGGAGGCGUUCACGCGCCGAAUACUAAAGGGUAGCGAAUGGCGGCUGUAACCUUGACAGUCCUAAGGUAGCGAAAUACCUUGCCAAGUAAGUUUUGGCGUGCAUGAAUGACGUAACGAGCUCCUCGACUGUCUCUGGUACCGUUUCAGUGAAAUUGGCAUUUCCGUGAAGAUACGGAUACGUUGUCGUUAGACGGAAAGACCCUAUAUACCUUUACUAUAACUUUGCGUGGCCCUAGGAAACUGUAUGCGUAGAAUAGGCGGGAGUCCAUGAGGCUGCAGCCCCGGUUGCAGCGGAGACGCCGGUGAAAUACCGCCCUUACAACUUUUCAGAGCUCCAUGCCGACCAGUCGGCUGUAGACGCGCAAGGUGGGUAGUUUUGCUGGGGCGGCGGCCUUCUAAAUAGUAACGAGGGCGUGCAACGGUCGGCUCAGGGGCGGCGCAAUCGCCCUUGUGAGCACAAUGGUAAAGCCGGCCUGACUGUGAGACUGACAGGUCGAGCAGGUACGAAAGUAGGCCUUAGUGAUCCGGCGGUAGAGAGUGGAAUUGCCGUCGCUCAAC
rnacentral:rRNA from 1 species